CCGUGAGGAGGCAUCCCUCUGUGUGUGGAUUCAGAAGCCUUUUCUGCUCGUGUGCUGCACUGUGGGACACAGCUACGAAGAAGAUACAUCUCUUCUCUAUUCUCAGUGAUUCCAGUUUGCUCAUCUCUCCGGAGAGCCACCUGAUGUUUUCGACAGAAGGUGCCCCAGGUUGUUGUUUCUGCUGCAGUGAAUCAGGAGGACAUUGAGAGCAGCUGAGGGAGAAGGGGAGAAGUUUCUUUCAACACAACCAAACCACUGGAGCCUGUGGAUCCACACAUUGGCCCAACUUGAUGGUCGUCAUUGCUCACCAUCCAGAUUUUGGGGAUUAAGUGAGUGUUGAGUGUUUUAUGAAAUCACAUUCAAAAUUACUUUUCAACUUAUAUUUUUUACAUGUAUUUGCAUCUUUAAUGUAGACAGGGCUGGGCUAAUUGAUGUACAUGAGCGGUUAUCAUAAAAAGUCUAUUUCUGUAAAGCUGCUGAGUGAGAACAUGCAUACAGGUGGGUACAUGCUUGAUUUGCUCUACACCAAGGUUGUGCCCUUUAUUU